rnacentral:lncRNA from 1 species
CUCGCCAGUGCCGAGUCCAGGGGCAGGAUGACUUCCCUAGUCCUGCUCACCACACCAUUCCGGAGCCAGGAAUUGUGCUUAUGCCAUUGGCCUUCUUGGCCACCUGGGCACACUGCUGGCUCAUCUUCAGCCACCUGUCCGUCAGCACACCAAGGUCCCUUUCAGGGCUCAGGCAGCUUUCCAGCCACUCCUCCCCAAGGAGGACUGGGGGGACGCCUGGGCUUGUUGUGACCAAAAUGCAGGACCCGACACUCGGCCCCAUUGAAACUCAUCCAGUUAAGCUGGCAGAGUGAAGAGAGAACAAAAACCAAGCAGGCAAAGAGCAGAGCUGUCCAGAGGGGGCAGGGCUUGGGGCAGGGCCUGUGCCGGAGGGUGGUCCAGCACAGUGGUGGCCUCGGGGCCCAGGCUGGAGGGGGCCUGGCACAGUUGAGGCCUGGUGUGGGCCCAGAAGGAAGGGGGCCCAGGCACAGGUAGAGCCUCGGGGCCCAGGAUGGAGGAGGACCAGGUGCAGUUGGGGCUGCACUGGGGGGGCCGGAGCUGGAGGGGGGCCUAGCAGAGUUGAGGCCUCGUGUGGGCCCAGAAGGAAGGGGGCCCAGGCACAGGUAGAGCCUCGGGGCCCAGGAUGGAGGAGAACCAGGCUCAGUUGGGGCUGUGUUGGGGCCCAGGAUGGAGGAGGACCAGGUGCAGUUGGGGCUGCACUGGGGGGGCCGGAGCUGGAGGGGGGCCUAGCAGAGUUGAGGCCUCCUCUGGGCCCAGACAAAAAGGGCCC